GCCGAGAUAGCCAAGCGGUACGGCGCUGGCCUGGAGAGCCAGUGAUUCUUUGAAUCACGAGGGUUCAAAUCCCUCUCUCGGCG
rnacentral:tRNA from 1 species